GGUGGCUCAGUGGUAGAGCGCUUGCCUUGUAUGCAUGAGGCCCUGGGUUCAAUCCCCCAGCACCA
rnacentral:tRNA from 1 species